CCCCCAGGACCCCCCGGAGCCGAGAAUUCCUCGCUGGGGCUGGCGAUGGCGGCCGGGGACGGCGCGGCGCUGGUGUGCGGCCCCACCUCGCCCCAGGUGUGCGGGGUCAACGUCCACCUCAACGGUCACUGCGUCCAGCUGGACACCGCGCUCCGGCCGGUCCGGAGCCUGCCGGCCGCAUUCCCAGCGUGUCCGGAGCCCUCGAUGGACAC